UCAAUUUGUGGCCUAGUGGUUAGAGCAUCUGCCUCAGAUGCAGGAUAUCAUGGGUUUGAACUCUGGUUGAGUAAU